rnacentral:rRNA from 1 species
GACGAACGCUGGCGGCGUGCCUAAUACAUGCAAGUCGAACGCAAAACUUUCACCGAAUGCUUGCAUUCACGAAAGUUUUGAGUGGCGAACGGGUGAGUAACACGUGGGUAACCUGCCCAGAAGAGGGGGAUAACACUUGGAAACAGGUGCUAAUACCGCAUAAUAACAAAAACCGCAUGGUUUUUGUUUGAAAGAUGGUUUUGCUAUCACUUCUGGAUGGACCCGCGGCGUAUUAGCUAGUUGGUAAGGUAAAGGCUUACCAAGGCAAUGAUACGUAGCCGAACUGAGAGGUUGAUCGGCCACAUUGGGACUGGGACACGGCCCAAACUCCUACGGGAGGCAGCAGUAGGGAAUCUUCCACAAUGGACGAAAGUCUGAUGGAGCAACGCCGCGUGAGUGAAGAAGGUUUUCGGAUCGUAAAACUCUGUUGUUAAAGAAGAACGUAUCUAAGAGUAACUGCUUAGGUAGUGACGGUAUUUAACCAGAAAGCCACGGCUAACUACGUGCCAGCCGCCGCAGUAA